UAUCACUUACAAAAGCGCAUGGAUAUGCGUCACUUCGGCGUAUAAAUCGCACUUUUGGCGAUUCGUUUUUGUCGAUUUUCUCAAAAACUGUUUGAUAUUUUUUAGAUUUGUUGAAAGCAUUUGAAAGCUCAUAGGAAAACGCACAAAAUGGCGUCAAAAAGUCAAAAUCGAAAAAAAAUGGAUAUGCGUCACUUCGUCAUAUCACGGCAGUAUAGGUAAAGUAUCUCGUGGGUCCUGAGUCCUGAGUCCCUAACCUCGAAGCGCCUGUUAGUAGGCUGUACAUUUUUGUUUUCAUAAUGACCAUUUUUGUUCAAACCGGAAAAUUUUAAACACAGUAAUCGGGAGAAAUGUUUUACAAGUUUCAAUUUCUAUUUUCAGAACUGAUAAAAAACUUACGUGCUAACGUGAAACGUACUAACAUAUUAUCAAUUUUAUUAAAACAUUUGAAACUCACCGCUCAGCCAUGGCACCGCUAACAAUCGUAGUCGCGGUUGUUGAAAACGAUAAUUGGAACAAAAAGGCUGCAAAUAUUGGCCCCAGCAGCGGAUCGUUCACGGCUGGAUCUAUCAAAAAGUCUCCCAAGGCCACAAAUGGAUUGUUCAGUUCUCCACGCCCAAACGACAUGGCAUAGCCGAAAAGCCAAUACACAUCCCGAUUCCAGCAUCCCAAAGCCGGUUUGCAUUGUGAAUAUGAUGAACGAUGAUGUAAGGACCCAAUUGGUGUCCUCGAGGCUCAAAUCGUACAAACCCGGAAUUAUGUAGCUCUUGUUCCUAGCCCAAGACGGGGUUUCCCCGAAGGAUUCCGUUGCAUUUGGAACGGAAGCCAUAUUUUUCAUAGCCGAAAGCAGAUUUUACUUAUGUAAUGACAAAGCCAAUCUUCUUCAACCUAACGAUGUUUUUUGGGACCAAAUCGACAAAAGAUCAAAGUAAGACUGAUUCUUCGGGGACCACAAAAGUUUCGUAAGUUCAAGAAAUGGCAUUCCCAUCGAAAAUUAAAUUUUCAUCAAUCUGGAACUUCACAAGGUUGGUCAGUGAACGAGCAUGCAAAGAUCAGCCCUUAAUUGCUUGCCGUGCCGCGGUUGACAUGCAAACCGUUUUAUCUGCGCCGCGACUAUUUUUGCCUAUUUUGUGUGCCUCUGAAUGGAAAGCUGAUUUUAAAGAACAUAUUAUCCACAUGAACUGAACAUGCCCUCCCAGUGACAUCACGUCAUUUUAUUGGCGACGGAAUUUUGCAAACAAAAGGCAUUUUAAUUCAACUUUUUCGGAUACAGGUGAGCUGAACGAUUGUUUUUCAUUCUUCCGCUUAUUAUUAAUCAUUCAUUGGCCAUCCUCAACAAUGUA